GUUAUUUUGUGUAUCUUUUUUACAUAACAUUUGCCAUUGCUAAUGGCGUACACAGUAAUCUAGCUUAUUUGAAAUAAAUAAAUCAAUUCAAGCUAAAAUGUAAGAGUCUAUAAUUAGGCUACUGAGCCUGAUCUAUUUGUACCAGAGAUUUUCUUACCUUUUAAAAAAAUGUCACCUGGGCUAAAACUCCCUCUGCAACCCUGAUUUGCAUUUGUAUAGCUCACAGCAUUUUCAUUUACAUGUCAAAGCCUCCCCUAGAAAUAGGAGGAGGGGGGUCAUGGGGGGACAACUGCCAAGGGAGGCCCACGUCAAUUUCUGACAAUUUACGGCAGUUUUCGGCGUUGCCCGCAAAUUGCCGCAAACCUGAAAUUCCACGACAAUUUACAGUGCCGCAUACUGCCGAAAAUCCCACUUUUCAUGCAGUGCAUCUUCAGGUACUUUCAGACCUAUCAUCAGAGGCAGCAGACGUAACAGGCACCAAUUUUCAUGAGCAUUGCCUCCCACCGUUUUACGGUUUGAAAAGUUUCCAGGUACAAGAUGAGGGCGAUUUGUCUUGUCACACCACUUGUAUGGGAACUGAAGGAUGAUUUCAUUUAGUUCAAUGAGAGAAAAAUACUUCUUCUUGAUAAGUGCAUCAAAAGACAAUACCAAUUCUAAUGGAAUAAUGCCUUCAAGAAGGUCAUGUACAUCAUCUGGAGGGUAUCCAGAUGUAACAUGAAAGUGUUCAAGAAAGUGCUCCACUGGAGCGUUCGGGACUCUGCGGGUUUCUGUCCAUGGAGGAGAGGAACCGACUCAAAGAAGAGGAGACGGGCGCACAAUCCCACGAUAGCGGAAGCGGUGCGCCGUCUUCAACUCCGAGACGAACUACAGGCGCCACGAACCGGAGCAAGGCCGCCUGUGUGACGUAUUGUGAGACGGGACGCAGGAGCUUCAGGUUCAGGCGGAACACUCAUUGCGAGCGGAAGCUGCGAAGGAUUCAGCGCGGAGUCGAGCGAGAAGAAAGAGGGUCAGAGUUUAUUUGCUGACUUGUUUCAGGUGCAUUGAUCGAUGUGUUGUGUCCGUACGCAUCGCACAGUACUGAUUCAUUGUUGUUUUUACAGCUGCUGGAAUCGAGACAAAGUGCGCUGGCUGAUGACGAGGUGGAACUCUGGAAAUCCGCCACCGUAGAGCUCACGUCGGACGGAGGGGACGGCGUUGUUGGCGGGGUCUCGGGGUGGAUUGU
ensembl:lncRNA